GACGAACGCUGGCGGCGUGCCUAAUACAUGCCAGUCGAGCGAAGUUUUUCUGGUGCUUGCACUAGAAAAACUUAGCGGCGAACGGGUGAGUAACACGUAAAGAACCUGCCUCAUAGACUGGGACAACUAUUGGAAACGAUAGCUAAUACCGGAUAACAGCAUUAACUGCAUGGUUGAUGUUUAAAAGUUGGUUUUGCUAACACUAUGAGAUGUCUUUGCGGUGCAUUAGCUAGUUGGUGGGGUAAAGGCCUACCAAGGCGACGAUGCAUAGCCGACCUGAGAGGGUGAUCGGCCACACUGGGACUGAGACACGGCCCAGACUCCUACGGGAGGCAGCAGUAGGGAAUCUUCCGCAAUGGGCGAAAGCCUGACGGAGCAACGCCGCGUGAGUGAAGAAGGAUUUCGGUUCGUAAAGCUCUGUUGUUAGGGAAGAAUGAUUGUGUAGUAACGAUACACAGUAGAGACGGUACCUAACCAGAAAGCCACGGCUAACUACGUG
rnacentral:rRNA from 1 species